rnacentral:rRNA from 1 species
UGCGAGAGAACUUUACCAGAGAUGGAUUGGUGCCUUCGGGAACGUCUGACACAGGUUGCUGCAUGGCUGUCGUCAGCUCGUGUCGUGAGAGUGUUCGGGUUAAGUCCCGUAACGAGCGCAACCCUUGUCCUUAGUUACCAGCACGUUAUGGUGGGCACUCUAAGGAGACUGCCGGUGACAAACCGGAGGAAGGUGGGGAGUGACGUCAAGUCAUCAUGGCCCUUACGGCCUGGGCUACACACGUGCUACAAUGGUCGGUACAAAGGGUUGCCAAGCCGCGAGGUGGAGCUAAUCCCAUAAAACCGAUCGUAGUCCGGAUCGCAGUCUGCAACUCGACUGCGUGAAGUCGGAAUCGCUAGUAAUCGUGAAUCAGAAUGUCACGGUGAAUACGUUCCCGGGCCUU